rnacentral:rRNA from 1 species
GACGAACGCUGGCGGUGUGCUUAACACAUGCAAGUCGAACGGUAAGGCCCUUUCGGGUGUACACGAGUGGCGAACGGGUGAGUAACACGUGAGUAACCUGCCCUCAUCUCUGGGAUAACAGUCGGAAACGGUUGCUAAUACUGGAUAUGAGCUUGCAAGGCAUCUUGUGGGUUGGAAAGAUUUUUUUGGUUGGGGAUGGACUCGCGGCCUAUCAGCUUGUUGGUGAGGUAGUGGCUCACCAAGGCUUCGACGGGUAGCCGGCCUGAGAGGGCGACCGGCCACAUUGGGACUGAGAUACGGCCCAAACUCCUACGGGAGGCAGCAGUGGGGAAUAUUGCACAAUGGACGGAAGUCUGAUGCAGCAACGCCGCGUGCGGGAUGACGGCCUUCGGGUUGUAAACCGCUUUCAAUUGUGACGAAGCUUUUUGUGACGGUAGCAGUAGAAGAAGCACCGGCUAACUACGUG